rnacentral:ncRNA from 1 species
UAUUGAACGUUGAUGAGGAGAAGUAAAAAGUCGGAACCUUAUCCAGAGAGGAUCACCAUCGGCUGGGAGUGAUCUUAAGGAACUCUUUUGAAAUGCACCUCAGAGUCUCUUGUAGAAAAUAGUACACAAGAGCGGUUAGCUCACCGUUAACAGAGUUAAGUUGGAGAUAGGCUUAUAUACACUCAGUCUAUUCUCAAACAGAGUGGAACCGCGCAACCAAGCGUCUCUGUG